rnacentral:rRNA from 1 species
AUUGAACGCUGGCGGCAUGCUUUACACAUGCAAGUCGAACGGUAACAGGCCGCAAGGUGCUGACGAGUGGCGAACGGGUGAGUAAUGCAUCGAAACGUGCCCAGUCGUGGGGGAUAACGCAGCGAAAGUUGCGCUAAUACCGCAUACGAUCUAUGGAUGAAAGCGGGGGACCGUAAGGCCUCGCGCGAUUGGAGCGGCCGAUGUCAGAUUAGGUAGUUGGUGGGGUAAAGGCUCACCAAGCCGACGAUCUGUAGCUGGUCUGAGAGGACGACCAGCCACACUGGGACUGAGACACGGCCCAGACUCCUACGGGAGGCAGCAGUGGGGAAUUUUGGACAAUGGGCGCAAGCCUGAUCCAGCAAUGCCGCGUGCAGGAAGAAGGCCUUCGGGUUGUAAACUGCUUUUGUACGGAACGAAACGGUCCUGGUUAAUACCCGGGGCUAAUGACGGUACCGUAAGAAUAAGCACCGGCUAACUACGUGCCAGCAGCCGCGGUAACAC